AUCCAGAUGACGAUUCCCAAAUGGGACGAAAUGCGCGUUAUCCUGGAU
rnacentral:hammerhead_ribozyme from 1 species